AGAGAUGCCACAAAAUAAAAACACUAAAAUCAAUGGCCAUAGGGCUUAAAGUAAUAGAAAAUCUCAUAAGCAAAUGGUAAAAUCCAGGUGGUCUGGCUGUAGCUACAAUUGCUGACUAGUACUUCUACAAUUAAGCAUUACUUCAUCACCCAUCCAAAAUCAUCAAUGUAACAGACAUUAUCCAAUGGACCUAGGAGGAUCACAGAAAAGGCCUGGAGUACCAACGUAAAAAAAAAAAAAUCAAG